CGCUGGCGGCGUGCCUAACACAUGCAAGUCGAACGGGACUUAGUGGAAUGCGACUUCGGUCAAAUGAAAUAAGUUUAGUGGCGAACGGGUGAGUAACGCGUGAGGAACCUGCCUUCCAGUGGGGGACAACAGUUGGAAACGACUGCUAAUACCGCAUAAGACCACGGUAUCGCAUGAUACAGUGAUCAAAGGAGCAAUCCGCUAAAAGAUGGGCCCGCGUCUGAUUAGAUAGUUGGUGGGGUAACGGGCCUACCAAGUCGACGAUCAGUAGCCGGACUGAGAGGUUGAUCGGCCACAUUGGGACUGAGACACGGCCCAGACUCCUACGGGAGGCAGCAGUGGGGAAUAUUGCACAAUGGAGGAAACUCUGAUGCAGCGACGCCGCGUGAGGGAAGAAGGUAUUCGUAUUGUAAACCUCUGUCUUCGGGGACGAUAAUGACGGUACCCGAGGAGGAAGCACCGGCUAACUACGUG
rnacentral:rRNA from 1 species